AUAUCAAAAUUUUACAACAAAAUAAUAAUAAAAGGUAUAAAGGCCUUGGGCUAGACUGGACCAUUUCAAAGUGGACUGGACUACUCUUAAGAUCUAGGGGCUUAAAGGUUGGAUCUUGAGUGAAUGCAACCCAAAUUUAUUCAGUUCAAUGUCAAAUUGUGUCUCCGUGUCCGAUCGUUAUUGGAGUUUGAGGUACUGCUAUUAUGAUAUAAGUAUUUUGUUAUGUGUGAGCUUGCAUCGAAGAAGUACUUCCGGAGCGAGUAAGGCAGACUCAAUUGAUCUUUUCUAGAAUUUCCAUUGAUAGAUUAGAGGGUCCUCGCGCCCUACAUAACCUUCUAUCUAAAUCCAUAUUUUUAGUAAGCUAAAGUUGUAUCAUGUUAUAUCUAAUCACCUUUUGUGAUAUUUCUUCAACCUACCUCUACUUCUCCUAAACUUACCAAAGUAAAUCUCUCACACCUCUGCACCGAGAGACUCACACAUCUCUUUUUCACAUGUUUGAACAACCUUAGCUUCACCUCGUCAUCUUGUCCUCUGUCGAGGCCACAACAGAAAGAAAAAAAAAAGAAUAAAGACCUUGAUAAGGUAGGACCAAGUAAAAGUGGGCUGGAUUUUAUUCCUAAGAUCAAGGGGCUUAAGGUUGGACCUUGACUUUAAAACUUUAUAAGGAAAGCCCAAAGACAAAAAAGAGUCACUAUCACUUCACUAAAUUGGAGGUUUCAACUUCAUUGGAUUGGACCACCUUUUCUAGUUCUAAUUAAUUCCAAGUUGACAACCCAACUAAAUCCUUCAACUCUUUCUUCAUUUCUAAUCGAAUCACUAUAAAAUAAAAUAUUUUGAAACUCUCUUUAUUACUCAAUUGUCUUUUUGUCCCUUUCUGAUGUAAUAAAUGUUGGUCAAAGCCCUUCUUUUCAAGGUAAUCCUUGACUUAAAUUAGACUAACAACCCCCAACCCCACCCCCACACCAAAGAAAGCCAAUUCACUCAACUUUUACAAGUACAAGUAUGUUAACAUUGCUUAACCCUGAAUUUUCUCAGUUUGAAGUUGAAGCACUUUCACUACAUUAAAAAUGAUUAUUAGCAAAAAUUAAUUAAUAAUAAU
rnacentral:lncRNA from 1 species